rnacentral:rRNA from 1 species
AUACAGAGGGUGCAAGCGUUAAUCGGAAUUACUGGGCGUAAAGCGCGCGUAGGCGGUUUAAUCAGUCGGAUGUGAAAGCCCCGGGCUCAACCUGGGAACUGCAUUCGAUACUGUUAAGCUAGAGUAUGCUAGAGGGAAGUGGAAUUCCAGGUGUAGCGGUGAAAUGCGUAGAUAUCUGGAGGAACAUCAGUGGCGAAGGCGACUUCCUGGACCAAUACUGACGCUGAGGUGCGAAAGCGUGGGGAGCAAACAGGAUUAGAUACCCUAGUAGUCC